ensembl:lncRNA
GCUGUGACAGAAUAAAAAUAAAAUCCAAGGUCAAUGACAACCUCUAGUGGCUGAUUACUAUUUUACUAGCAUGAUAUUGUUAGGAAAGAUUAGAAUUAAAAUUUAAAUUAACAAUGAACAGCAUCUGCUGUGUUGAAUGUUACAACUGUGGAAGGUGAGUUUCACACAUCCGUCUCAAGUGUACAACAUUUUGCUUUAAGAUUGUUAUAGUGGCUCAGAUUUUGCUAAUAUUUCCUUCUGUGUAGUCCAUCGUCAGACAUGUAAUUCAUACAAUAUGUGUCAAAAUCCUCUGUAGAUCUGCAACUGUCAUUACUUCAGUAUGACAGCCCUGCUGUCUCUGUGUUAGUAAGUCCCUCUGGUCUGAGUUUUCCCUGAAAAUUAUUUCAAAAGGAAGAAAAAAAAAUGCUUUACCAUUCAAACGUCAAGGUUCUUUUGUGUGUCUGGCUGUACUGUAAAACACUUAACUAUUUUGUGUCAGUGACUCCCAUUACAACACAUUGAACCAGCCUCUUUCACUGCCUGCAACCAAAACACUCAGGCCCACUGGCGUACAGUGAUGUAUAGGAUCAAAUGAAAGCAUGGGGCCUAGUCUCAGUACUAAGGUGUGAGUAGGUGACCCAUGUAUUUAUCUGUAUUCGUCUUACAAUGUUUUGUCACCUUUACCUGUACAGAAUGAAAAAUUGACCCUCAGAACUACUGUUAGUGUGUUUAGGCACAUCACAAAGCCAAUGCAACUAUUUAUAAUAUAUCACUGGAGACUACAAACAUAGAGCAAGAUGUCACUUAUCGCCUAUAAUAAUUACAAAGUAAAACAAACAAGCAAACAAAAAAGAGAGUAUAGUGAGGAAGAAAACAAGGUUAAUUUUUCAAUGCUGACAAUUAUUUUGUUGUGCCAACCGUGAUUUAUGUUUAAAUUCUUAACAGUUAUAUUUCUUUUUUACAUUCCAGAUCCAUUGUUUCAUUUGAAGUAAUUCUAUGCAACAUAUACGUUUGAAUGCAUUUGUGUUUUUGGAAUUAAAAUGUUUUAACUGUGAACAUAUGUUCUCAAAAUAACUGUAAGAAAAUAACUUUAAUUUGUACAUCGAUGAAAGAAAAUAUGAAAUACUCUGAUUUUUUUACUGAUUUUAAUAUAUAUUGACGUUAACGGCUGUUAACAUCUACAUGGAUCUUGUGCACUUUAUUAUUGCGUUGUCUCAUUUGUUCCAUCAUGACAUGCGGGAUUACGUGUUUUGUGUUUAUGCACUGAAAUGAACUGAGUCAUGGUGUAUGUGAUGGCAGGAAAUAUUGUGGUGUGCAUUUUGUAUCUAUGUGGAAAAAGAAAAAACAUGCAGACACACUGGGGUUCCUAAACGUAAUGCACAAUGUGGGGGGGGGAUAAAUAUCACUCUAAACUGCAUCAUGCUCUCAGUGUACUUAAAAAAGUUUGUGUACACAGUACAGUAAAUUAGACAUAUUAUCUCAAUGCUCAGCCUUGACUGUUCAACCCCUGUGUUUCAUUAGACUUCACCCAAGCUAAAUACUGUUUGUUUAGAUCAGCUGUUGCCUGUAAUCGUGAAUCCAUUCAUUUGUUGUUGUUCUGAGGGGUGUGAAUGUGACUCAAGUUGUUUGACAUGUGUACAUAAAGUGUUUAUUUUCUACAAAGAUUGAAUGUUUAUAUUGUCCAAAGUCUGAGCAUGUGAGUGUUGGAAAAAAAAAUAUCACAAAAGACAUAUAAUUGUACAGCAGUUCAUGUCUAUAGCUGUAAAAGGGGAGUUGACUGUGUAAUCAAAACCUGUGCUGUCAACCAAUGACUAUGUGUGCAACUACGUCCCGUAAACUGCUGAAACAACACAAAGGGGGGAAAAAAAAUCUACUCAACUUCAAUAGUUGUCUAAAACUUUAUGUUUUGGAUGUUGCAUGUUUUGUUGAUGGUUUGUCGGUAUAUUUUGCCUAAAGAUUACGUUUAAAAAGAGAGAGAAUAUGUAUAGAUUUAUCUGUAUGCUGAGUGUAAAGAAAUAUGCUUGUAAAAUUGUCUUGUUUUUCACUCAGUGUAAAAACAAAACAUAUACUGUUAUGGUUUUGUGGUUGUACACAGGAUGUGUUGAGAUAUGCAAAUCGUGCUGUAAAAAAAAUCAGCGUUUCCCCUGAGUCUAAAAGAAUAAAUAUUAAGAAGAGUUAUAUUGCAC